rnacentral:rRNA from 1 species
AGGAUGAACGCUGGCGGCGUGCUUAACACAUGCAAGUCGAACGGUGAAGCCCAGCUUGCUGGGUGGAUCAGUGGCGAACGGGUGAGUAACACGUGAGCAACCUGCCCCUGACUCUGGGAUAAGCGCUGGAAACGGUGUCUAAUACUGGAUACGAACAGUGACCGCAUGGUCAGUUGUUGGAAAGAUUUAUUGGUUGGGGAUGGGCUCGCGGCCUAUCAGCUUGUUGGUGAGGUAAUGGCUCACCAAGGCGUCGACGGGUAGCCGGCCUGAGAGGGUGACCGGCCACACUGGGACUGAGACACGGCCCAGACUCCGUACGGGAGGCAGCAGUGGGGAAUAUUGCACAAUGGGCGCAAGGCCUGAUGCAGCAACGCCGCGGUGAGGAUGGACGGCCGUUCGGUUAGUUAAACCUCGUUUUAGACGAAGGAGUAAGCGAAGAGUAGACGGUACUAGACGAAGAAAA